GGGUUGUGAGGUUAAGCGACUAAGCGUACACGGUGGAUGCCCUGGCAGUCAGAGGCGAUGAAGGACGUGCUAAUCUGCGAUAAGCGUCGGUAAGGUGAUAUGAACCGUUAUAACCGGCGAUUUCCGAAUGGGGAAACCCAGUGUGUUUCGACACACUAUCAUUAACUGAAUCCAUAGGUUAAUGAGGCGAACCGGGGGAACUGAAACAUCUAAGUACCCCGAGGAAAAGAAAUCAACCGAGAUUCCCCCAGUAGCGGCGAGCGAACGGGGAGCAGCCCAGAGCCUGAAUCAGUGUGUGUGUUAGUGGAAGCGUCUGGAAAGGCGCGCGAUACAGGGUGACAGCCCCGUACACAAAAAUGCACAUGCUGUGAGCUCGAUGAGUAGGGCGGGACACGUGGUAUCCUGUCUGAAUAUGGGGGGACCAUCCUCCAAGGCUAAAUACUCCUGACUGACCGAUAGUGAACCAGUACCGUGAGGGAAAGGCGAAAAGAACCCCGGCGAGGGGAGUGAAAAAGAACCUGAAACCGUGUACGUACAAGCAGUGGGAGCACGCUUAGGCGUGUGACUGCGUACCUUUUGUAUAAUGGGUCAGCGACUUAUAUUCUGUAGCAAGGUUAACCGAAUAGGGGAGCCGAAGGGAAACCGAGUCUUAACUGGGCGUUAAGUUGCAGGGUAUAGACCCGAAACCCGGUGAUCUAGCCAUGGGCAGGUUGAAGGUUGGGUAACACUAACUGGAGGACCGAACCGACUAAUGUUGAAAAAUUAGCGGAUGACUUGUGGCUGGGGGUGAAAGGCCAAUCAAACCGGGAGAUAGCUGGUUCUCCCCGAAAGCUAUUUAGGUAGCGCCUCGUGAAUUCAUCUCCGGGGGUAGAGCACUGUUUCGGCAAGGGGGUCAUCCCGACUUACCAACCCGAUGCAAACUGCGAAUACCGGAGAAUGUUAUCACGGGAGACACACGGCGGGUGCUAACGUCCGUCGUGAAGAGGGAAACAACCCAGACCGCCAGCUAAGGUCCCAAAGUCAUGGUUAAGUGGGAAACGAUGUGGGAAGGCCCAGACAGCCAGGAUGUUGGCUUAGAAGCAGCCAUCAUUUAAAGAAAGCGUAAUAGCUCACUGGUCGAGUCGGCCUGCGCGGAAGAUGUAACGGGGCUAAACCAUGCACCGAAGCUGCGGCAGCGACGCUUAUGCGUUGUUGGGUAGGGGAGCGUUCUGUAAGCCUGCGAAGGUGUGCUGUGAGGCAUGCUGGAGGUAUCAGAAGUGCGAAUGCUGACAUAAGUAACGAUAAAGCGGGUGAAAAGCCCGCUCGCCGGAAGACCAAGGGUUCCUGUCCAACGUUAAUCGGGGCAGGGUGAGUCGACCCCUAAGGCGAGGCCGAAAGGCGUAGUCGAUGGGAAACAGGUUAAUAUUCCUGUACUUGGUGUUACUGCGAAGGGGGGACGGAGAAGGCUAUGUUGGCCGGGCGACGGUUGUCCCGGUUUAAGCGUGUAGGCUGGUUUUCCAGGCAAAUCCGGAAAAUCAAGGCUGAGGCGUGAUGACGAGGCACUACGGUGCUGAAGCAACAAAUGCCCUGCUUCCAGGAAAAGCCUCUAAGCAUCAGGUAACAUCAAAUCGUACCCCAAACCGACACAGGUGGUCAGGUAGAGAAUACCAAGGCGCUUGAGAGAACUCGGGUGAAGGAACUAGGCAAAAUGGUGCCGUAACUUCGGGAGAAGGCACGCUGAUAUGUAGGUGAAGCGACUUGCUCGUGGAGCUGAAAUCAGUCGAAGAUACCAGCUGGCUGCAACUGUUUAUUAAAAACACAGCACUGUGCAAACACGAAAGUGGACGUAUACGGUGUGACGCCUGCCCGGUGCCGGAAGGUUAAUUGAUGGGGUCAGCGCAAGCGAAGCUCUUGAUCGAAGCCCCGGUAAACGGCGGCCGUAACUAUAACGGUCCUAAGGUAGCGAAAUUCCUUGUCGGGUAAGUUCCGACCUGCACGAAUGGCGUAAUGAUGGCCAGGCUGUCUCCACCCGAGACUCAGUGAAAUUGAACUCGCUGUGAAGAUGCAGUGUACCCGCGGCAAGACGGAAAGACCCCGUGAACCUUUACUAUAGCUUGACACUGAACAUUGAGCCUUGAUGUGUAGGAUAGGUGGGAGGCUUUGAAGUGUGGACGCCAGUCUGCAUGGAGCCGACCUUGAAAUACCACCCUUUAAUGUUUGAUGUUCUAACGUGGACCCGUGAUCCGGGUUGCGGACAGUGUCUGGUGGGUAGUUUGACUGGGGCGGUCUCCUCCUAAAGAGUAACGGAGGAGCACGAAGGUUGGCUAAUCCUGGUCGGACAUCAGGAGGUUAGUGCAAUGGCAUAAGCCAGCUUGACUGCGAGCGUGACGGCGCGAGCAGGUGCGAAAGCAGGUCAUAGUGAUCCGGUGGUUCUGAAUGGAAGGGCCAUCGCUCAACGGAUAAAAGGUACUCCGGGGAUAACAGGCUGAUACCGCCCAAGAGUUCAUAUCGACGGCGGUGUUUGGCACCUCGAUGUCGGCUCAUCACAUCCUGGGGCUGAAGUAGGUCCCAAGGGUAUGGCUGUUCGCCAUUUAAAGUGGUACGCGAGCUGGGUUUAGAACGUCGUGAGACAGUUCGGUCCCUAUCUGCCGUGGGCGCUGGAGAACUGAGGGGGGCUGCUCCUAGUACGAGAGGACCGGAGUGGACGCAUCACUGGUGUUCGGGUUGUCAUGCCAAUGGCACUGCCCGGUAGCUAAAUGCGGAAGAGAUAAGUGCUGAAAGCAUCUAAGCACGAAACUUGCCCCGAGAUGAGUUCUCCCUGACCCUUUAAGGGUCCUGAAGGAACGUUGAAGACGACGACGUUGAUAGGCCGGGUGUGUAAGCGCAGCGAUGCGUUGAGCUAACCGGUACUAAUGAACCGUGAGGCUUAACCUUACAACGCCGAAGCUGUU
rnacentral:rRNA from 1 species